GACGAACGCUGGCGGCGUGCUUAACACAUGCAAGUCGAACGGAAAGGCCCUGCGUUUGUGGGGUUCUCGAGUGGCGAACGGGGGAGUAACACGUGAGUAACAUGCCCUUGUCUUUCGGAUAACUUCAGGAAACUCGGGCUAAUACCGGAUAGGAGAUCCUGCUGCACGGGGGGGGUUGGAAAGUUUCGGCGGUGGUGGAUGGAUUCGCUGCUUAUCAGCUGCUUGGUGGGGUAGUUGCGUACCAAGGCUAUGGCGGGUAGCCGGCCUGAGAGGGUUAACGGCGUCAAUGGGCCUGAGGUAGGGAGCAGACUGCUACGUGAGGCAGCAGGCGGGAGUAUUGCACAACGAGCGGACGUCUGUGACAGAGACGUCGCGUGCGGGAUGACGUCCUUCGGGUUAAGAACCGCUUUCGCCUGUGACGAGGCGUGAGUGACGGUACUGGGUAAAGAAGCACCGGCUAACUACGUG
rnacentral:rRNA from 1 species